AAUCUUCUGGGGGUGGCGAGUUUGGAAAGUACUAUAGCCUACCUGCUCUGAAUGAUCCAAGGAUCGAUAAGUUGCCGUACUCCGUCAGGAUCCUUCUUGAAUCGGCAAUCCGUAACUGUGACAACUUCCAAGUCACCAAGGAAGAUGUUGAGAAGAUUAUUGAUUGGGAGAAUACUUCUCCCAAACAAGUCGAGAUUCCUUUCAAGCCUGCCCGUGUUCUCCUGCAGGAUUUUACUGGUGUACCAAU